GCACUCUGCUGACGACCGGCGCACGGGUGCGUAACGCGUAUGCAAUCUACCUCUUACUGAGGGAUAGCCCAUGGAAACGUGGAUUAACACCUCAUAGUAUUAUGAAUUGGCAUCAAUUUAUGAUUAAAGGUUACGGUAAGAGAUGAGCAUGCGUCCUAUUAGCUAGAUGGUAAGGUAACGGCUUACCAUGGCAACGAUAGGUAGGGGUCCUGAGAGGGAGAUCCCCCACACUGGUACUGAGACACGGACCAGACUCCUACGGGAGGCAGCAGUGAGGAAUAUUGGACAAUGGGCGAGAGCCUGAUCCAGCCAUGCCGCGUGCAGGAAGACUGCCCUAUGGGUUGUAAACUGCUUUUACAGAGGAAGAACCCUCCCCACGUGUGGGGAGUUGACGGUACUCUGCGAAUAAGGAUCGGCUAACUCCGUGCCAGCAGCCGCGGUAAUACGGAGGAUCCAAGCGUUAUCCGGAAUCAUUGGGUUUAAAGGGUCCGUAGGCGGAUUUAUAAGUCAGUGGUGAAAGUCUGCAGCUUAACUGUAGAACUGCCAUUGAUACUGUAGAUCUUGAAUCAUUAUGAAGUGGUUAGAAUGUGUAGUGUAGCGGUGAAAUGCAUAGAUAUUACACAGAAUACCGAUUGCGAAGGCAGAUCACUAAUAAUGUAUUGACGCUGAUGGACGAAAGCGUAGGUAGCGAACAGGAUUAGAUACCCUGGUAGUCUACGCCGUAAACGAUGGUUACUAGCUGUCCGGCCAAAUUGAUGGCUGGGUGGUUAAGCGAAAGUGAUAAGUAACCCACCUGGGGAGUACGUUCGCAAGAAUGAAACUCAAAGGAAUUGACGGGGGCCCGCACAAGCGGUGGAGCAUGUGGUUUAAUUCGAUGAUACGCG
rnacentral:rRNA from 2 species